AGCCCACCGGGGACCUGAUUCCAGACAGAAAAAUGUUUUGCAGCUGAACUGCAUCUCACAAGCAACACUGUAAGUGCUCUGAAAAGAGACCAGAAAAGACAGUGACAUCCUACCCCUUCCCGCGGUUUAGAUGAAAAGGCUGAGCACUGGACUGGGUGACUCACUCUGGCGCUAACUGGCAGAACCAGAAGAUGAACUGGAAGAGCCUGAGCCCUGUGUGACGUUAAACCGCAGAACCAGCCUGUCUCCCUGCGUUAGAGACCUUGCCAGUACUGCCACCUCGAAGGCUAACAUCUUGAUCCUCUGCAGUUGCCGCUGCAGGUCCACGAAGACCUGACACUGCUCUCUCCUGCCCAUGGCUCUCGCAAGAACUGACAGGCUGGGCUUCACCUCGGGGUUGCUGCUGGUCCAUAGCAACAGUGGGAACGGCCAUGGAUGGAGCGGGAGCCUCAAAGAGGUUUUGCCAUUGUCUUGGAGAGGAACCUUGCAGCCUCACUCCGCGCUGCGCCUGGGCUCUCUGCGGCAGACCUCUCCCGGGAGACAACAGGCAGAGCGGACGGGUGGCACACGGCCGUCCCCCUCCAGACCGUGUCGAGCGGCGGGGAAAAGGGCCGGCACCUCGGUCGCCCGGAGGGCCCAGAUGUGUGACCGUCACGAUCUGCCGGAGCACAAACUGGUCAGUUUAUGUGCCUCAUUUUGUGCUACAGCCUCACGGGACCUGGGACUUCUCCACAUUGUGUUUUAGUCACCUGCAAGAAGCAGAAAAAGAGAAAUCCUUCCUCACCUCAACAGAAAUGUCUUAGGAACUGGAGUCUGAACUCUACCCCUCCCUUUGCCAGGGGAAGAAUGGACAUAUGAUUAAAAUGAAUUGCUCCUUUAACAAAUUACCGCUCAUUAGCCAAGCGACUGUGAUUGUGUGCACACUUUUAGCCUGUCUUAUCUAUGAAAUGAAAAGAUAUUACACUAAAAAAAAAAUCCUAAUGAUUAACAUAACUCAAUUGCCUGGCAAUAACUCUAUCAGCAUGUGAUAAAAAGUGAUACCCUAUGUUCCUAAUGGCCGUACGAAUAUAGCAGAAUAAUAUAGCACAAAGCCUUGAACUCC